rnacentral:rRNA from 4 species
CGACUCUCGGCAACGGAUAUCUCGGCUCUCGCAUCGAUGAAGAACGUAGCGAAAUGCGAUACUUGGUGUGAAUUGCAGAAUCCCGCGAAUCAUCGAGUCUUUGAACGCAAGUUGCGCCCGAAGCCAUUCGGCCGAGGGCACGUCUGCCUGGGUGUCACG